AGAGAAGGGGUCAUGCCAAGCCAGGAACUCGACAGCGCGUGAGGAGCAGCCUGUGCUUCCCUGUGGUGCCCAUUCUUCUUUUCCACAAGGCUGGCAGCUGUGAAGAUCUGAAAGGGAAGACCAGGUUCCUCAGAGCCAGUGUUUCCAUUAACCAGAUACACCUGAGCUUCACUCCAAGAUCUCUGAGUCCUGACUCCCUGGUGAUGCACCCAGCGGACACUCCCACCACCGAGUUAUUAAAAGGAAAGAAUGUGUGCCCUGCUGUAUAAGCUGACUCCAUAGCUCUCUUCCCUGCAGACAUCAAGUAUCUACAUUUAACCCAAGCCAUUCAGGAGCUGAUUCCUUGGGUCAAGGAAGGGGCCUCAUAUGAACAGAACAGCACAGAGGAGCUGUGUCUCUUUAGAUAAAGAGGUUGCAGUUAGGACCAGAUUCAUCUGUAGGAGCCAGUGGUGGGUGAGGGAUGACAGGGUCCUCUGACAGAGGACACACCAAGGUCUGAGGCUUCCAGAUGGUUGUUUCUGCCCAGUCAGAAUUCAGCCAAGUGGCAAGUGUCCUCCAGCCUAUACCCCACUGACAAGCCUGUGGGCCGGAGCCCAGUUCUGAGGCCCUUGGGUGCUGGAUCACUCACUGUUCACUCACCGCUCUUGUUGAGAAAGGUUCCAGCUUCGCAAGGCAUGCACUCGAAGCAGCAGUGGUGCGAGCCCACAACCACCCUGUGAUGACCCUCCAGACAGUUCCCAGUGCACACGGAUGUCGGCACCUGUGAGAAGCCACACUGGUCUCAAUCACACAGAGGCGCCCAAGGCGAGGGGCAGCUCCAGGUUCACUGAGAGCAGAGCCCAGGGUCAGGGGAGCCGAGACCCAAGCUGAGUAUCUGCAUGGUGACACGUGGGGCCAGAGUCCCUGGCAAGAGUGAGCAGACCUGACACAGCCUGACAUCUGUGGCCUCUUUCCCGCUCUCGGUAGGCAUCGGUCUCUGGGCUCCAAACCAGGCACCUGAAGAGUGACCUUGUCCCCAUUACCUGAUUGUCCUUCCCGUGCCACUGGAUUUUCGUCUUAUUUAUGUCCAGAUGAACUGGAGACAAUGAGGCAGAGCCGAUGACCUUAAAGGUCCAUUCAGGUCCACUCCAGUCCCAGGCAAUGAUGUUAUAAUAACCUAGAGGGUCCCCAUUAUCAUCGAAUGCCACAGUAUCCUUGUGGAGAAGAAAAUUCACCUUGUAGAUCUGCUGAAGAAGCUGGGAGAGACAGAUGUCAUGAAGCCACCACAGACCACACAGAGCCAGGCAGCCCAGAGAGUCAGCAGGGCUCACUUGAGCUAUGUCCUACAGGGUCCAGCCUACUCUUAAGGUCUGGUUCCUUCCUCAGCAGUCUGUUCUCACCCCUAGUCAGAAUUCCCUUGAGCCCUGACCAGCCUCCUGAGAGGAGACCUCUCAUAAAGGACUGUUUUGUAAGCAUUUUUAGCCUUUGACAUCACUGGGGUAUGGGGGUUGGGAGAAAACAAGGAAUAUCAGAGAAGAGAAGGACGCACCUACUAGAAGAGCAGACGGUGCACCCCCACUCCUGGGAUCGGAUGUUCUGGGUACCGACACCCUGGCUGGAAUCUCUUACCUGCCAUGGGUAAACUGGGCCUCUGGAGCAGACCUUCGAGGUGCAUCCCAGGAGCUGGUGGAGGCCGUGGGCCACAGCGUACACAGCCUGGUACACGUUGUAGGCAGCACUCAUGGAGAAGGCCCCGAGUGUGGGCAUGCUAUGCGCAGUGAAGGCAUGGCACUCCCGGCACAGCUGGUUACUGCUGCACCAGGACCCCUCUGGACAGGCCCUGGGAGCACCCGUUACUGCUCUGACGUAAGACUCUUCAAACUCUCUCAGGCCAGGGACUUGUCUCUGCUGGAUGGACACGCCUAGCACUGUCCCAAUGCCUUGGAUCCCAGGCAUCUUGCUGAUGUACGUGGAGAUGGCCCAGUCCUCUGAGGCAAUCCACACCUUGCCAGUCAGUUGGGCCAGCACCACAGAGCGGAAAAACACUCUAGCCAGGUGCCGGUUAGAGAAAACCACAACCACAGUGGUCCUGGCUUGGGCCAAGUGGUCCAUCAUGCGCUGCAUUCUGGGCUCCCCCACCCGGGCCGAGAAAGGGAUGAUGUCCUUGAAGGCAAUGCAGAUGCCCUGAGAUGUGGCCAGCUCCUCCAGAGCCCUUACCCCCAGCUGCCCGUAAUCACCAUAGCUGCCGAUGAGUGAGAUCCAGACCCACCCGAAACUCUGCAGUAGCCUCACCAUGACCUCCACCUGGUGCUUAUCGCUGGGGAUGGUACGGAGAAAAGAUGGGUACUGCCGCUUUGCACUGAGUAUCACACUGCUGGCCUCAUAGCUGAUCUGUGGGGAGGGGUUCCAUUCACUAGGGUCAGCCCCACCCCCAUGGUCCCCCCCCCAGUAUAGGGAGGAUGCAGGCCAAGACGGCAGGCUUCUCUGGGGCUGUCCAAGAGGGGUGGGGUUGGGUCUAAUAGACCAAAUGUUGUAAACUGCCUGAUAGAUGAUGUGUUUUAAACAGGGAACAAGCCAUGCUCUCUUGGUCCUUGGCAUAGGUAGGACAGGGCAGGAGACCUUAACUCUCACUUCCAUCCUGCACACUGCAGGGAGCUCCUAAGGUUCCCCUUGAUAAAUGACAUAUUCAGAUCAAGUUUGAGGAGUCUGUCUCUAAAUCAAGUGAAGAAGAACUUGCUGGAAAGUUUAGAGCAAGGGCCUGAUGAAAUCAGCUUAGUGACAGUUAGUGGUGGUCUGUAAAAGGUGAAAGAUUUAACCAGCUGUGGCCAGUAAACCAGCACUUGGUAGGUAGAGGUGGGAGUAUCAGGAGUUCAAAGCCACCCUGCCUGGACUGUGAUGCAAGUACAGGGCCCAUCUGGGCCACACCCUGCCUGGACUGUGAUGCAAGUACAGGGCCCAUCUGGGCCACAUGAGACCCUGUCUCAAAAGGCCAAAGGGAAAAAAGAGGAAAGUGAAAGACUCCUUUGGUUGGUUGGUUGGUUGUUUGGUUUUUGGAAACAGUUCCUCUGUGGGGCCCUGGCUGUCCUGGACUGCUCUACAGACCAGGGCUGGCUUCAAAUUUAGAGAUCUGCUUGCCUCUGCCUCGAAAGCUCUGAGAUUAAAGGCUUGUGCCAUCUCCACCAAGCCAAAAGAUGGGCCCUGAAGGGAAACUAGAUUUGAUGGCAAUGAUUUGGCAGUAAAAACCUAGGUGGGUAUCGUGGGCCAUGGCAAGGCUUAAAGGGAAGUGAGCUCAGCAUGGAGCUGCUGCUGGGGAAAGUGGGUGAGGAAGGCGUGGUCGGAAGUCAGAAUGCAUGCCAGAAAUGGGGACAGGGGAGAGGAGAUCAGGGAGGGGCAGGAGGCAAAAGGACCCUCUCCAGAGACAGACAGACAGAGAGAGAGAGAGAGAGAGAGAGAGAGGCGAGGACAUAAAUGCCAAGGACGGUGCUAUACAAGGAGUGGUUGGGCAUGUCGUAAAAGAGUCAUGCAGGGCAAAGGACGGACAAGUGGUUAUUGGGUUAGGAGCUCUAGAAGGCACACAUGAGGUGAGGACAGAACCCAAGGCUGAGGCACAAAUGGAAGGGUGAACCAAGCUAGACUAGAGAGCUCUAGGAAGUUCAGUGACAAGACACAGAAAGAGCCAGAUACAUGAGGACAGGGGACUCAGAAGAGGGAUCCCUGUAGAUAGGAGACCUUCUUAGACAGACUGCUAGCGCAGCAGGGGGCCAGGCUUGGGGCAGCACAGAACCACCACUGAACAGCAAGGAAGAAUGGCUUGCCUGCAGGUGAUCUAGUACCUGGGAAGUAAAGGCUGUUAGGAUAACAGAGACAAUGGAGACUUUGGAUGGAGGGAAGGCACAGAAAGUAAACAACUGGGUGGCAAGCCUUUCAAAAUGAUGACGGGGGGGGGGGGGGGGGGUGUGGCACAUGCCUUUAAUCCCAGCACUUGGGAGGCAGAGGCAGUUGGAUCUCUGUGAGUUUGUGGCCAGCCUGGUCCACAUAGUGAGAUCCAGGACAGCCAGAGCUACAUAGAAGACCCUAUCUCAAAACAAACAAAAAUUUGAAAGGACAGGGUUGGGCUGGGGAGAUAGCUCAGAGGUUUAGAGCACUGACUGCUUCCAUAGGUCCUGAGUUCAAUUCCCAGCAACCACAUCGUGGCUCACAACCAUCUAUAAUGAGAUCUGGUGUCCUAUUCUCUUGUGCAGGUGUACAUGCAGGCAGAACUCUGUAUACAUAAUAAAUAAAUAAAUCUUAAAAAAAAAAAAAAAAAGAAAGAAAGAAAAAGAAA